rfam:Aedes albopictus isolate Foshan contig67269, whole genome shotgun sequence.
UGGCCUAGUGGUUAAGGCUAUGGAUCGCCAAUCCGGAGGCGGCGGGUUCGAUUCCCGU